rnacentral:lncRNA from 1 species
AUUAAUGACCCGGAGCCACAUGACGGAGCAUGACACAGCACUUUUGGGCACAAGGCAGGGCCCAGAGGGGUGCGUGGGGGCCGCAGCCCAGCCCCCAAGCCCCGCCAGCGGGUGAGUCACCUGGGCCCCCUGCAGCUUCCUGAUCCCGGCCACUCAGCUGUCCUCCCCACCCCCAGGAUAUCCCCAGUUGUCAGGGCUGCCCUGGGACCCCUCGACCUUUGCACUAGGGACUUAGCAGCCGUCUUGGGUGAUCAGGGCUGCCUUCUGGGAUUACAGAUGGGGACAGUGAGGCCUGCAGGACUGGAGUGAAUGAACAGUGAGCUCUGAGUAAACGUCCACUGUGCGGGAGGCACUGUGCAAAUACGUCACGUUAGUCUCGCAGCGAUGCAACACAGUGGCGUAGUUUAAUCCCCAUAUGAUAGAUGGGGAAACUGAGGCUCAGAGCGGGAAUGAAUUCUCCCAAGGGCAUGCAACAAGAGCACUCUGUUUGACUGGAAAUAAUUUCCUUUCGUCUCCUCAGCAGCCGACAAGGGAGGUGCCAUGUGGACUGUUUCACAGCUGGAGAAACUGAGGCACAGAGGGGCUGAGUCACCUGCCUAACGCACUGAGCAGUCUGGCUCCAGGACCUGUGCUCUGAACCAGCACCUGGCACAUAGCUGGCACCGACAUGGUCUCCGUGCACUGCCAUGGAUGAGAGCAAUGCUGGCUGCGGUGUCGGGCGGAGCUGGGUUCCAAUGCUGACUUCACCUUUCUCAGGCUGCACAGCCUGGAGCACGUGGCUGCACCCUACCGUGCGUCAGUUUCCUCACCUGUGAAGGGUGAUCGUGGUGGUCCUGAUCUUGCAGAACUGCAGUGAGGGCUGUGAGUGUGGGGUGUCUCAACUGCACCUGGACACGCAGAAGGCACUCUGUGAACACUGACUUUCAUUGGCCCAGGCCUCUGAAUCCAUGACAGUUCAAUCUCUGAACCCCACAGCUUCCUCCUUCACCCUUUGCCGCCCCAGGGCAAGCUUUACUGGGGUGUAACAAACACACGAUAAACUGCGCAUAUUCCAGUGUUCAUGUGGAUGAGUUUGGACAUAUGCACACACUUCCGAAACCACCAGCACAAUCAAGACAGCAGACAUAUCCAUC